rnacentral:rRNA from 1 species
AGAACGAACGUUGAUGGCGUGCCUCAUACAUGCAAGUCGAGCGGGUAGCAAUACCAGCGGCGGACGGGUGAGUAACACGUAAACAAUCUACCCUGAAGCGGGGAAUAACUAUCCCAACGGAUAGCUAAUACCGCAUAAUGAUGGAGGCGGCAUCGUCUCUUCUCAAAAGGCUUCGGCCACUUCAGGAUGAGUUUGCGUCCCAUUAGCUUGUUGGCGGUGUAACGGACCACCAAGGCUACGAUGGGUAUCCGGCCUGAGAGGGUGUACGGACACAUUGGGACUGAGAUACGGCCCAGACUCCUACGGGAGGCAGCAGUAGGGAAUUUGCGCAAUGGAGGAAACUCUGACGCAGCAACGGCCAUGUGUGGAUGAAGCAUUUCGGUGUAGUAAACCGACUGUUCAGGACGGGAAUAAAGUGGUACGCGUUCGGCGGCAGUUAGAAUCGUACCCGAGAAACGGACGACCCCGGCUAACUUCGUGCC